GUUAACAGUUAAUUUUCAGAUGUCUCGUCGAAAUGCUUUUCAAAGGAAAAACGUGGGCAUCCUGUUCCUCUGAAAGGGAUUUCCAGAUCAACAAUAUACUGGAGACGAAUAUUUAGGUCCUCUUCCAUUACCGCAUCCUAAGCUGCACAUGGCAAAUAGAAAGAAUGUUUAUAAGUGUGAAACACCUCCUGACUGCAAAGUGCACUUCCUCGAGAAAACUAAAUCGUCAUUUUAAAUGCCAAUUUCAUUUACAUUACCGUAAGCCAGAAUCAUUUUUCUGUGUGUUGUCGGUUUGAAUAAGAUAUCGGCCGAUGAUGCAUGACAUUCAACGAAACAAUUCAACCCCUUUCAUCAUCUCUGUCUCUUCUAAAAGAAUGCCAAUACCACGAUAGACAUCAGAGACAUUUCCUUUACAUGUUCCCCAAGUACAAAAGUUUCUGGUGCAUACGUAGAUCCUAUACACGA